AGACAAGCGGCCCUCCAUUCCUUUAUAUCUUCCCUUUCUUUUUUGGUAUUUUUGUUUUUCUCAGCUGACAGCUGGGGUCCACAAAUCAUCUCCAACCUCCAGACUACUGCUACGUAUCGGGAACCAACUCUGUACCGAAACGAAGCCACAAAAAUCUCCCGAUUCCGUUCGAUUUCGUGCAUCCUUUGCCACGAAAAAAUCCCUCUAUAAAUACCCCAAAAUCUCCUCCGUUUUUGCCCUAAAAAAAUUCCGAUUUUGUGCGCCGCCAGGCUGCCAAAUUUGCUCGCCGGAGCUUCGAGCUGCCGCCGCCAUUGGAGCUCGAGAUCGAGAAUACGGAGCCGCCCGGGAUACGUCGCCGGAGCAUCGCCGGAGUUCGAGAUGAACAACCGCACGUCAACACCGUUUCAGGAGUAGGCUCUGUCACCGAGGACACCAUCUAAAUCACCGCGAUGCGCUGCACCGAGUCGACCACUUCUCCGAUGUCUACGACUACCCGGGGCUAGCUCGCUGUCGACGUCCUCAACAUUGACAUAGCGCGUACUGCUGCCAUCGUCGUUGUACGGAGAGCUACGAGUUUUGAUUGAGAGAUGUGCAGAAUUCUUCAAUUACCAAAAAGGC